ensembl:miRNA cja-mir-9933 cja-mir-9933
UUUCUGACCCGACUUAGUUUAUGUUUGGGAGACUGGGGUUGUCUGCAGGUUGGUUCUAAGAGCUUCCUUCACCUCCUCAAAAUGACACAGCUUCCUUAUCUAUCACCCAUGACUGAUGGCUCUGGAAA